GGUCCUGGAGCCAAUGCUUUCCAGAUACUAGGAGAUUAUUGUAAUGCAUACUGAAAUGCAGGAAAGUCAGUGAAAUCUGAUGGCACUUGCACGUCAAUCAAACACCAGUUAUCUCAGGGGCAUGAAGCCACUGCACUGGUCUUCUAGGAGCUGGUACUCAAAGCUGCUGCAGAAAUGGCAAUUCUGCACAGAGUGAUACAGGGGUCCUGGUCAGUUUUGUGCCAACUUGACUCAA